UAGUCCACGCCGUAAACGAUGUCUACUAGCCGUUGGGAGACUUGAUUUCUUGGUGGCGCAGUUAACGCGAUAAGUGGACCGCCUGGGGAGUACGGCCGCAAGGUUAAAACUCAAAUGAAUUGACGGGGGCCCGCACAAGCGGUGGAGCAUGUGGUUUAAUUCGAUGCAACGCGAAGAACCUUACCAGGCCUUGACAUCCUAGGAAUCCUGUAGAGAUACGGGAGUGACCUUCGGGAAUCUAGUGACAGGUGCUGCAUGGCUGUCGUCAGCUCGUGUCGUGAGAUGUUGGGUUAAGUCCCGCAACGAGCGCAACCCUUAUUUCUAGUUGCCAUUUGGAACUCUAGAAAGACUGUCGGUUAUAAACCGGAGGAAGGCGGGGAUGACAUCAAGUCAGCAUGCCCCUUAUGCCCUGGGCUACACACGUGCUACAAUGGACGAGACAAUGAGUUACAAAUCUGCGAAGAUAAGUUAAUCUAUAAACUCGUUACUAAGUUCGGAUUGUAGGCUGCAACUCG
rnacentral:rRNA from 1 species